UACGUAGGGUGCGAGCGUUUGUCCGGAAUUACUGGGCGUAAAGAGCUCGUAGGUGGUUUGUCGCGUUGUCCGUGAAAACUCACAACUCAAUUGUGGGCGUGCGGGCGAUACGGGCAGACUGGAGUACUGCAGGGGAGACUGGAAUUCCUGGUGUAGCGGUGGAAUGCGCAGAUAUCAGGAAGAACACCCGUGGCGAAGGCGGUUCUCUGGGACGGUACUGACGCUGGAGACGCGAAAGCGUGGGGAGCGAACAGG
rnacentral:rRNA from 1 species